UAUCUCUGUAGAGUCUGCAUAUCAAUAAGCGGAGGAAAAGAAACUAACAAGGAUUCCCUUAGUAACGGCGAGUGAAGCGGGAAGAGCUCAAAUUUGAAAUCUUCAAGGUUCUACCUUGACGAAUUGUAGUUUAUAGAAGUGUUUUCUGUUAGUGGAGUGGCAAAAGUUCUUUGGAAUAGGACAUCAUAGAGGGUGAGAAUCCCGUAUUUGGUCAUUCCUCCUAGCGUUGUGAUACACUUUCAACGAGUCGGAUUGUUUGGGAAUGCAGUCCAAAAUGGGUGGUAAAUUUCAUCUAAAGCUAAAUAUUGGCGAGAGACCGAUAGCGAACAAGUACCGUGAGGGAAAGAUGAAAAGAACUUUGAAAAGAGAGUUAAACAGUACGUGAAAUUGUCAAAAGGGAAGCGUUUGACACCAGUGUUGUUUUUCCGAAAAUCAAUUACGAAUGUUUUAUUUUUGAGGAGUUAUGACUUCAUCGGCUUGCUCCUUUCUUUAUGAAACUUUCUUAAUGCACUUUUCGGUUAACAAGUCAACAUCAAUUUCUUUUGUUGUAAAAGGGUAUGAGGAAGGUGGCUUUCUUUUCGGAGAAAGUGUUUAUAGCCUUGUGCCUCUGCAAUCGGAGAGAUUGAGGUCUGCAGCGUAGAUCCUUCGGGGUUAGAUACGUUUGUGCUAAGUUAUAGCUUUUCAUAGACAACUUGUUGACUAUGUUUAGUCUUGUAGCUUACUCGCUGAUGCUAUUUUACCUACGCUUAGGAUGUUGAGUAGCGACAUACGCAC
rnacentral:rRNA from 1 species